UGCGAGGAGGAGAUAAAACAAAGACGGAGUGAGUCUUGGCCGCGGCAGGAAGAGAACGACCAUCUGCAAGCUCAUGCUGCAAAGGAGCUUAUCUCAUUACCUCCCCUCCCGAAGAGGGAAAACUUAGUUUGCCCACCUCUGCCGUCUCCGUCUUUAUCUUCUUCCUGUCAUGUGUCUUUUCAAAUCACAUUCUUCCUCCACAAAACAGAGUAAUAAACAUCCAGCAUGGCUCCAGACUUAAUUAGAGUAAAAAAAAAAAUAACAACAUGAUGCAUUUUAUUAUGAGAGCUACGAUGAAUGUCCCUGUCUUUCAUUACGUGUUGAAGUGGAAACGCAGCUCAGGCUUCGACCCUGAACCCUAAGCCCCGCCCGCCUGCACGGCGCUCGUCCUCGAGGCCACAAAACAGGCUCCCGACUCACUACCGGUAAACACAACAGACGCAUAAUGUGCCCGCGCGCACAACAAAAGACACGACCGGGAGCGCUGUCACCACUCAUCACGCUGACACAAAAGGAGGACGCGGCUCGAGAUGCUGUAUCGCAGCAGACCGAGAGGAAAAUAUAUACCCUCGCUCCUUCCUCCAUCCUUUUCUUCACAUGAAGCCCAAGUCACAUCACCUCUCUCUUCAUGUGCCCCACCUCCCGCCACCAGCGUCUCUGUUACUAGAACAAGACAUUACUGACGAGGAACACCGCCGCCCGCUGCGCUCAGAUCAGAAGGCGGACACGUUGUCACUGAUCCCAGAUUGUGAGAGGCCGAGCCCCCCUCUUCAUCCAGCCCCCCCCGCCACGGAGUAGAAAAGCCCGGGCCAAUCAGAGUGGACAAGGCAAUGAGUCAUGGAUCCAGUGGACCAAGAGGACCUGCCUGCUCUGGGCAGCAAAGCUCUAACGUCCAUGGAUGAAUGUGAUUCAA